rnacentral:lncRNA from 1 species
AACGGGAAUAACUCCAUAAACCAGCAAUUGUAUUUCACUAAUGUGUUCACUGUUGACUCAGGUUAUCACGGUCUUAGGGUGGGAUUAAUGUAUUUUCGCAAAACCAGGCCUGCAUGUCAGGUGGUCGACUUUUGUGAUGAGAUGAGCUGGAGAGGAUUCAGAAGCUUUAUGGACUUAAUAGCCGUAAAGUGAGUUGGCUGACAAAGGUAGAGAAUAAAAAGAGAGAUCCAGAGGGCAUUACUAGCCUCUGAAUAAUAGGUAUGCAUAUCCCUGGAUUUUUAGAAGUAGCAGGUGGUCAUGAGUCACUGUUUUCAAACUUGUUCGCUUUUCUGUCACAUAAGAGAGGUAUUUUGGCAAAAUACAUAGUUAUAUUACAAAAUAAUUAUUCGCCCAUUACAGCAAUUCCAAUGAUAUUGCUUUCUUUGGACAUGAAGUGUUAAUCAAUAUUGCUUGUAGCAAUAUUUAAUACUGAUACAACAACAAUUAUUUUUGCUCUCAACCACUUGGGUUUUUCCCUCCUUUUAAUUCCUGGGGGAGAAAAACACGUCCCGUCAAAUCAAAAUGAUUUUUUUUUUAAUUCUUAUGACAGUGUGAUUAUAUAGAACAUGAAGUCUCUUCUUUUACCAAGUAGGAAGUACUUUGAACUUGUUAGAUAAUGACACAUCAGUGGUUAUUUUUGAUGAACUUCUUAAGAAUACUAAAUAGAUUUGAAUUAAAAUUUUUUACUAAUUCUCAUUUAAUAUUCAUUCUUUAGAACUGCAGUCAGCCGGGAGAAAUAAAGUCUUCACUCUAAUAAUCUUUCAUCUUUCUAAUUGAAUUGAUGUAUAUCUGCUAUUUUCAAAUCUCUAAAGGAAUGACCAUACCUGACCUUGGACAAAGGUCUUGGGAUUUGAUACCUUGAGGGUAGAGUUUAGAAAAGGUAUCAAAAUGUAUUUGGACUUUCAUGGCUUAAUAAGACAAGGAUUUCAAGUAGCAAAGAGAUUCAACACCUCACCUGCCUUCGCCUGGGUUCAGCCAUCACAAGGAACCACACCCUUCAAACCCCCACCCCACCAGCGGCUACUUCUGUGCCUCUCCCCAGGCCGCUGUCCUUCCCUGCCUCUUCUUAUUACUUAACAGUUUCUUUGCUUCUGACCCUGGUGUGGGCCUCAUUCUUGUCUUCUACCAUUUCCUUAAACUUGAUGAUUAGAUUAGCAAACCCUGUAAUAUGUUCUCCCUAAAACCUUGCUUUUGCCUUUUGCCAUAUUCUGUCACUUUUACUUACAAAGGAUCUGCUCCACCAUCAAUGUCAAAGCACUCUGGCUGCUCUGGACCUUGUGUUCCCCCAAAUUCAUAUGUUGAAGCCCUAACCCCCAAUGGGUUGGUACAUGGAGAUGGGAGCUUUGGCAGAUGAGAGGGUUUAGUUGAGAUCAUGAAGGUGGGGCCCUCAUUAGGGGAUUAGUGCCCAUAGAGAAGGAGAUACCAGAGAGCUUGCUUUGGCUCUCUCCCUGUGCACACAAGAGAAGCCCUGUGAAGGUCCAGUGAGAAGGUGCACAUCUGCAACCCAAGGAGGGAGCUCCGGCCAGACACUACCAUGCUGGCACUUUGAUCUUGGGCUUCCGGUCUCUAGACUGGAAAAAAUAAAUGCCUAUUGUUCAAGCCA